rnacentral:misc_RNA from 1 species
CAUCUACUGUUCACUGAACCAGCCUUCAAAAGUUUAGUACAAAAGCUGCACAAUGUAAGCUAAAACAAGUCAAGUUAUACAAAAGUUUUGUCUUUUUUAUCCUACUAUGGAUGAAAUUACUGCACACUGGCUUCCUCCGAAGAAGCACGAUAACAGCUACUGCCUGAUGGUGCCAGGAUUUGAACAGCUUAAGGCAUGAAGCUUGGCAGGUGCACAGGCAGUACACGACUUAGCAACUCUACUUUAAACUACAAGUUCUACAUCUCAGCAUUUCUGCUAAGCAGUGAUAUGUCUCUGCUUGGCGUUCACAACAAGGGCAGUCUACUAAAGUGUCCAGCUAUCUUCAGAGUUCCACCCUCUUGUACGAUUUUACUCUUAUGUACACCAACGUGUAUAUGGAAAAAUCAGAGUUAUACGUGGAUUACAGAUUGAUGGCUCGUCUACUAUCUAGUUACUCUGGUUGAAGCCGGACAUGCGGGCAAGGCCUAUCUGGCUCUCCUCUUGUCCAUAGAUGCUUGAGAUCACCUCUUUGCUUUCCCAACGUCAAAAAUGUGCCUAGUGUGAAAGGAACAAUGUAAAGCAAAGCAGGUUGACCAUGACCAUCCAUCAAAUUCAAUGCCACAUAAGUUGUGAGCAAACCUAAACCAUAAGCAAGCAUAGCCCACAAGAAGUAUCCAUCUCGAAGUUUCUUAUUACACAACCAGUCGUACCUUAAAGAAAAUGCUACCAGUAAACCUGGUAAAAUUAUGUCACCAAACCCAAUGAUACUGUAGCCAUGCCAAGGAUCAAACAACCGUGGGAACAGUUCUUCUGAGUUGUUCUUUAUUGUAUGACCUUUUCUGGGUGUUUCUUUCCAAAAGUCUGUUCCAUAAGAGUGUGAUGA